GAUGAACGCUGGCGGCGUGCCUAAUACAUGCAAGUCGAGCGAACGGACGAGAAGCUUGCUUCUCUGAUGUUAGCGGCGGGCGGGUGAGUAACACGUGGAUAACCUACCUAUAAGACUGGGAUAACUUCGGGAAACCGGAGCUAAUACCGGAUAAUAUUUUGAACCGCAUGGUUCAAAAGUGAAAGACGGUCUUGCUGUCACUUAUAGAUGGAUCCGCGCUGCAUUAGCUAGUUGGUAAGGUAACGGCUUACCAAGGCAACGAUGCAUAGCCGACCUGAGAGGGGGAUCGGCCACGCUGGAACUGAGCCCGGGUCAAGGCCCAUAGGGGAGCCAGCAGUGGGGAAUCUUCCGCAAGGGGCGAAAGCCUGAGGGAGCAACGCCACGGGGGUAAUAGAUGUCUUCGGAUUAUAAAACUCGGUUUUAAGGGAAGAACAUAUGUGUAAGUAAAUGUGCACAUCUGGACGGUACCUAAUCAGAAAGCCACGGCUAACUAAGU
rnacentral:rRNA from 1 species